rnacentral:rRNA from 1 species
AUACGUAGGUGGCGAGCGUUGUCCGGAAUUAUUGGGCGUAAAGAGCAUGUAGGCGGCUUAAUAAGUCGAGCGUGAAAAUGCGGGGCUCAACCCCGUAUGGCGCUGGAAACUGUUAGGCUUGAGUGCAGGAGAGGAAAGGGGAAUUCCCAGUGUAGCGGUGAAAUGCGUAGAUAUUGGGAGGAACACCAGUGGCGAAGGCGCCUUUCUGGACUGUGUCUGACGCUGAAAUGCGAAGGCCAGGGUAGCGAACGGGAUUAGAUACCCCGGUAGUCCUGGCCGUAAACGAUGGGUACUAGGUGUAGGAGGUAUCGACCCCUUCUGUGCCGGAGUUAACGCAAUAAGUACCCCGCCUGGGGAGUACGGCCGCAAGGUUGAAACUCAAAUGAAUUGACGGGG